ACUCAAAGGAAUAGACGGGGGCCCGCACAAGCGGUGGAGCAUGUGGUUUAAUUCGACGCAACGCGAAGAACCUUACCUGGGCUCGAACGGCUGCUGACGGUCAGUGGAAACGCUGGCCUUCCCGCAAGGGACAGUAGUCGAGGUGCUGCAUGGCUGUCGUCAGCUCGUGUCGUGAGAUGUUGGGUUAAGUCCCGCAACGAGCGCAACCCUUGUCCUGUUUUGGCAUGCCGAAAGGCGCAACUAUCAGGAGACCGCCAGCGAUAAGCUGGAGGAAGGUGGGGAUGACGUCAAGUCAUCAUGGCCUUUAUGUCCAGGGCUACACACGUGCUACAAUGGACGGUACAAAGCGCUGCCAACCCGCGAGGGGGAGCUAAUCGCAAAAAACCGUCCUCAGUUCGGAUCGCAGGCUGCAACCCGCCUGCGUGAAGCUGGAAUCGCUAGUAAUGGCAUAUCAGAACGAUGCCGUGAAUACGUUCCCGGGCCUUGUACACACCGCCCGU
rnacentral:rRNA from 1 species